CUACGUGCCAGCAGCCGCGGUAAUACGGAAGGUCCAGGCGUUAUCCGGAUUUAUUGGGUUUAAAGGGAGCGUAGGCCGUGGAUUAAGCGUGUUGUGAAAUGUAGACGCUCAACGUCUGAAUUGCAGCGCGAACUGGUUCACUUGAGUAUGCACAACGUAGGCGGAAUUCGUCGUGUAGCGGUGAAAUGCUUAGAUAUGACGAAGAACUCCGAUUGCGAAGGCAGCUUACGGGAGCACAACUGACGCUGAAGCUCGAAGGUGCGGGUAUCAAACAGGAUUAGAUACCCUGGUAGUCCGCACAGUAAACGAUGGAUGCCCGUUGUUAGUUCACCUAAGAAUCAGCGACCAAGCGAAAGCAUUAAGCAUCCCACCUGGGGAGUACGCCGGCAACGGUGAAACUCAAAGGAAUUGACGGGGGCCCGCACAAGCGGAGGAACAUGUGGUUUAAUUCGAUGAUACGCGAGGAACCUUACCCGGGCU
rnacentral:rRNA from 1 species